rnacentral:misc_RNA from 1 species
CGCACAUUGCGCCCUUUGGUAUUCCGAAGGGCACACCCGUUCGAGCGUCAUUACACCACUCAAGCCUGGCUUGGUAUUGGGCGUCGAGGCACCCCUCGCGCCCCAAUUUCACCGGCGGACUGGCCGCGUUGCAAGCGUUGUAGUCUAUUAUUGAUUCGCACGCAGCGUUAAGAGUAAGUCUCUGCCGUUAAACAUUUGAACAAGGUUGACCUCGGAUCGGGUGGGGAUACCCGCUGAACUUAA